UCUUAGGUGCAGGGAGAUACCAUGAUAAAAGGGCAGACAAUGUUGCUGCCCUCAAGGAGCUGACAUUCUAGUGGAGGAAGACAGAUGCAAAAAGGAAUGUAUGCCCACAUCACACAACUAAAUUGUGGCAUGAUGGAGUUCAACAAAAUAUGGAUACAGAGAGCAAGGUUUGAGGGUAAAUUUAACCAAGGUAGGGUAAUCAGAGGAGCCUGAUCUGAAAAGGCAGGAAUUAAAAUAAGCUCUAAAGGAUUAUUAGAAACUAGGGAGAGAGGAGCUGACUGGUAGAAAUGGGGAGUGUUUCAGGGAGAGCAAAAAGCCCAUUCAAAAACCUCAUGCAAAGAAGAGUUGGGCAAUUUGAAGAAUUGAAAUGAAACUCUAGGACUGGGCACGGAGAAUGUGAAGAAGUGAGGAGGGGUUGGAGCUGGAGAGAUAGGUGGGACUGGAUCCCAUACAACUUGAAAAGAACAGAGAAAGAUCCAGUGCAAAAACUCAUAGGAAAUGAUCAAUUCAUGCCAAGUGAUGAGAACUAGAGAAGAGAGAUGAGAGCAUUGUUCAUACACGAUGGUCUAGGUCUCCUACCCCAAGAGAACUUGCAACAAAGCCCAAAGUACAACAGCCACGUUUAAAGAGAAGAUUCCAUUUCAGCCAGACAACAUGAUUCAUCAUAUUUAUUUAAUAUUGUUAAUUUGAAUUUUAUUAGAUCUGUACUGAUGUUUGUAUUUAAUUUCUAAUUUGUUUUGGUUUCAUAAUUCACUAAAACAAUAAGCACAAAGAGUUUCUAUCUGACUUUAUAUAUUAACAUUUUAAUAAAAGUCUUUUAUAUACUCA
rnacentral:lncRNA from 1 species